UACAGAGGCCUCGAGCGUUGUUCGGAAUUACUGGGCGUAAAGCGCACGUAGGCGGAUUGUUAAGUCGGGGGUGAAAUCCUGGAGCUCAACUCCAGAACUGCCUUCGAUACUGGCGAUCUCGAGUCCGGGAGAGGUGAGUGGAACUGCGAGUGUAGAGGUGAAAUUCGUAGAUAUUCGCAAGAACACCAGUGGCGAAGGCGGCUCACUGGCCCGGUACUGACGCUGAGGUGCGAAAGCGUGGGGAGCAAACAGG
rnacentral:rRNA from 1 species